rnacentral:rRNA from 1 species
GACGAACGCUGGCGGCGUGCUUAACACAUGCAAGUCGAACGAUGAACCGGAGCUUGCUCUGGGGAUUAGUGGCGAACGGGUGAGUAACACGUGGGCAACCUGCCCCAGACACCGGGAUAACCAUUGGAAACGAUGGCUAAUACCGGAUACGACCACCUCGGGCAUCCGAUGGUGGUGGAAAGGAUUCUGGUCUGGGAUGGGCCCGCGACCUAUCAGCUUGUUGGUGGGGUAAUGGCCUACCAAGGCGACGACGGGUAGCCGGCCUGAGAGGGCGACCGUGCACACUCGGACUGAGUAGCGGACCAGACGCCUACGGGAGGCAGCAGUGGGGAAUAUUGCGCAAUGGGCGAAAGCCUGACGCAGCGACGCCGCGUGAGGGACGAAGGUCUUCGGAUUGUAAACCUCUUUCAGCAGGGAUGAAGCGAAAGUGACAGUACCUGCAGAAGAAGCACCGGCUAACUACGUGCCAGCCGCCGCCGUAACAC